AGAAUCAACGCUGGCGGCGUGCCUAACACAUGCAAGUCGCACGAGAAAGGGGCUUCGGCUCUGAGUAAAGUGGCGCACGGGUGAGUAACACGUGACUAAUCUACCCUCGAGUGGGGAAUAACCUAGAGAAAUCUGGGCUAAUACCGCAUAACACUUACGAGUCAAAGCAGCGAUGUGCUUGGGGAGGAGGUCGCGGCCGAUUAGCUAGUUGGCGGGGUAAUGGCCCACCAAGGCAAUGAUCGGUA
rnacentral:rRNA from 1 species